rnacentral:rRNA from 1 species
GGGCCAGACUCCUACGGGAGGCAGCAGUGGGGGAUAUUGCACAAUGGGGGAAACCCUGAUGCAGCGACGCCGCGUGAGGGAAGACGGCCUUCGGGUUGUAAACCUCUGUCGCAGGGGACGAAGGAAGUGACGGUACCCUGUGAGGAAGCCACGGCUAACUACGUGCCAGCAGCCGCGGUAAUACGUAGGUGGCGAGCGUUGUCCGGAAUUACUGGGUGUAAAGGGGGCGCAGACGGCAGCGCAAGCCAGGAGUGAAAGCCCGGGGCCCAACCCCGGGACUGCUCUUGGAACUGCGCGGCUGGAGUGCAGGAGGGGCAGGCGGAAUUCCUGGUGUAGCGGUGAAAUGCGUAGAUAUCAGGAGGAACACCGGUGGCGAAGGCGGCCUGCUGGACUGCGACUGACGUUGAGGCCCGAAAGCGCGGGGAGCAAACAGGAUUAGAUACCCCUGUAA